rnacentral:rRNA from 1 species
UGCAGUCAGGGGAAGCAAUCUUCGGAUGGUGAGUAUACUGGCGGACGGGUGAGUAACGCGUAGGCAACCUGCCCUUAUGUUUGGGAUAACCUCGCGAAAGUGGGGCUAAUACCGGAUGUGGUGACAUUAACCUAAGUUGAUGUUAUUAAAGUUGCCAGGGGUGACCCUAGUAACGCAAAAGGAUGGGCCUGCGUUCCAUUAGCUAGUUGGUGAGGUAACGGCUCACCAAGGCGACGAUGGAUAGCUGGUCUGAGAGGACGAUCAGCCACACUGGGACUGAGAUACGGCCCAGACUCCUACGGGAGGCAGCAGUGGGGAAUAUUGCGCAAUGCCCGCAAGGGUGACGCAGCGACGCCGCGUGGGUGAAGACGCUCUACGGAGUGUAAAGCCCUGUCAGAGGGGAAGAACGGCAUUGAUUCGCAAGGGUUAGUGUGUGACGGUACCCUCAGAGGAAGCUCCGGCUAACUCCGUGCCAGCAGCCGCGGUAAUACGGGGGGAGCAAGCGUUGUCCGGAAUCACUGGGCGUAAAGGGCGUGUAGGCGGGCAAUCAAGUCAGAUGUAAAAGGCGACGGCUUAACCGUAGUAUGUCAUCUGAUACUGGUUGUCUUGAGUUCGAGAGAGGGUGGUGGAAUUCCCGGUGUAGCGGUGAAAUGCGUAGAUAUCGGGAAGAACACCUGAAGCGAAGGCGGCCACCUGGAUCGACACUGACGCUGAGGCGCGUGCAGUCAGGUGCAGUCAGGUGCAGUCAGGUGCAGUCAGGUGCAGUCAGGACGAUGG